rnacentral:rRNA from 1 species
UACGAAGGGGGCUAGCGUUGCUCGGAAUUACUGGGCGUAAAGCGCACGUAGGCGGCUUUCUAAGUCGGGGGGGAAAUCCUGGAGCUCAACUCCAGAACUGCCUUCGAUACUGGAGAGCUUGAGUCCGGGAGAGGUGAGUGGAACUGCGAGUGUAGAGGUGAAAUUCGUAGAUAUUCGCAAGAACACCAGUGGCGAAGGCGGCUCACUGGCCCGGUACUGACGCUGAGGUGCGAAAGCGUGGGGAGCAAACAGG